CGCAUCUCCGGGCUGCUGGAGGAGGCCGGCUACGUGCCGGCGGCCGGUGACGGCGACCCCGACGUCGUCGUGUUCAACACGUGUGCGGUGCGG
rnacentral:tRNA from 1 species